rnacentral:rRNA from 1 species
GACGAACGCUGGCGGCGUGCCUAAUACAUGCAAGUCGAACGCAGUGGGGCCGGGUUAGUAACACGUGGGUAACCUCCCAUCAGAGGGGAUAACACUUGGAAACAGGUGCUAAACCGAUACUGAUGGAUGGACACGCGGGUCAUUAGCUAGUUGGUGAGGUAACGGCUCACCAAGGCCACGAUGCAUAGACGAGCUGAGAGGGUGAUCGGCAACACUGGGACUGAGACACGGCCCAGACUCCUAAGGGAGGCAGCAGUAGGGAAUCUUCGGCAAUGGACGAAAGUCUGACCGAGAAACGCCGCGUGAGUGAAGAAGGUUUUAGGAUCGUAAAACUCUGUUGUUAGAGAAGCGGUAUCUAACCAGAAAGCCACGGCUAACUACGUGCCAGCAGCCGCGGUAAUUC